ensembl:lncRNA
CUUCAACCAAGGACAUCAGCCUCACUUUAGGUAGGGUAGGGCAGACCUGGGAGACAUGGCUUCCUCCAUCAGUCUGGGUCUUGUGCAUUCCUUGGGAUUCCUCUAGAGACCAGGCAAACACAUGACUGUCCUCAGGCCUGUUAUUCUUAGGAAGGUAUAACUUAUAUUCUAUAAGGAGGGCCUAGUGACAGCUGUAUUAGUCCUUUCUGGUGGCAUUUGGGAGCCACCACAUUAGCAACCCCAUCAGUAUAGCCUGUCUGGUCUUGCCUUUGCUGCCAAAGUCUGCCUGUGCAAAGGGGCUUAGCCAGCAGCUAACUGGUCUCUGAAAGCUGGCAAUUCACAUAGAAAUGUUCCUUAACUUUCAAUGAGAUUAUGUCCCAGUAAACCCAUCUCAAGUUGAAAAUAUCCUAAAUCCAAUAUGCAUUUAAUCCACCAAACCUACCAUGCAUCCUAUAGCUGAGCAACACAGCACACUGUAGAGCAUUGGCUGUGCCCCUUGUGAUUGGUUGGGAUGACUGGGGGCUGUGAUUAGCACUGUCCAGUGUCACAAGGGAGGAUCAGAAGGCAUACCCCUAGCCUGGGGAAAAAUCCAAAUUCAUAGUUCCAAGUAUGGCUUCUAUGGAAUGCAUGUUGCUUUCCCAUCAUCAUAAAGUAAACAAAAACAAAAACAAAAACAAAAAAAACAAAAUCAUAAAUUAGAACAUUGUAAGUCAAAUUGCCAUAAGUCAGGGGUGAUUUGCUGUUGAAUAUUAACCACUGCACUCAUGAUGAAUGCUGCCAUUCUGGAAGAAACCAGAAGUCAGUUACAGCAGUCUUAACUACCAUUUGAAGGUUUGAAGAAGUGUGUCAAAGAGAAGCAAAGAAAAAUCAAGAACUCUUCCCAAGAGACACAAGAUCUGAGUCUGAGGAGAAGCAGGAAGCUAGCCCCAAAACCAGAGCAUGAACCCAGCAAGUCAGGCUCAAAAGAAGCCAAGACUGAAACCUGAAUAAGACGUGCAGAAAUGACUCAUCACUGCAGUCAAAACUUUCUUCUGGGGAUUUAACCUACUUUUCUAUUUCAAAACUUGGUGCUGUUCGACAAGUGACGGCUGGCUCCGUCGCGGGUGGCGCCCGAACAGGGACCUGAAUACGGGGGACCAUAGUGAAGGACACCGCGGAUCGUGAGCUUGGAUAAGUAAAUUAAGGGCGGUGAAUGCACUCGGGAGUAGCAAGAUGGGUAAUGGUAAUAGCCGAAUGUUUUUUGAACAUAUGCUUAAAAAUACGCUUCGCGCUCGUGGAGCAAAGGUAGGGCGUCAACAAUUAUGUAAUUUUUUAGAAUUUGUAGAGAAAGUUUGUCCUUGGUCCUCUGAAGAAGGCACAGUAGAUUUAGAAGUAUGGAAUAAGGUGGGAAGGCAACUUCAGGACUAUUACGAUGGUCAUGGACCCACUAAAGUCCCUAUAGAUGCUUUUAGUUUAUGGGCUUUAAUUAGAGAUAGUUUGGAUCCUCAGCAUGAGGGAGAGAGGGUUGAAGGACCCUCAAGUCCUUCCUCGGAGGAGCCCGACAAGGCUGGUGUUCCCGAGGUUGUCCCUCCGCCUCCUAUAGAAAGUGGAACUAAGCCAUCUGCUCCGCCAGUGUAUGCUGAUGCGGAGUCUGCACUAAGGAAGGGUUUUUUUCCGGAUGAGGGAGCCCUAAACCCGGGAGAUGCUGAUGAUUUGGAAGAAGAGGCUGCUAGGUAUAACAGUGAGGAUUGCCCCCCCCCCACAUCAUAGCCGUGGCCAGGAAAACUGAAAAAUCCAGACAGCCAGAGAAUGAGGACGUGACUGAAAGGAUUACUAGGUUGGAAAAGAGAUUGGAGUCUCUUUGUCAGCAGUGGCAGACAGGCUUAACGGUGGAAGAAGAAGACCAGAAGGCUCAGGCCGAGGGAGGCAUAGUUCCUAGUAUAAUCGCUGGUCUUGAUCCCCCGCCGGUUGCAGGUCCAAGAUUAAUGAAAGAAACUGACCCUCUUAUAGCCAUGAUUAAACAUCCCCCAGGACCCAGG